rnacentral:lncRNA from 1 species
CUCUUCAUAGAUGUAUUAAAAUAUGCAGCCUUCUGUGUCUGGACUUUGAUUCUUGGAUUGCUAAUGAUUUGAUGCAUUCAUAUUGGUCUUGCUGCAGAAAAAGGCAAAGGAGUUUAGGAAGCAAAAAUCAAUUGACAAGAUCGAUGCGGAGGAAUUUAUUGCAGGUUCCAGCAGGCCAUCUAAAAAGAAAUCGAAGAGCUCUAGAUAAGGAAUACUACUUAGAAAGCCUGCUUGUGCUUGUAAAACCUGCAGCUGUGUAAAUUGCUGUGUUGUCACUAUCUUGUAUCUUCCUUCGGCCACCAUGUUGACGUUAGAAUUCUGGAGGACCUUCCCAUCCAUGCCUGUCAGCUAGUCUUAGUAUCUGGCGAUUUUGGAAAUGGGGUCACGCUCUUUUUCCCCCUUUGUUGUGAUGAUGGGUGAGGUCCAUAGUUUUGCUCUGUGUACUGGCUCUGAUAAAUGUCGUUGCUUUGUGUUACAAAUAAUUUACUGACAUGGAUCAAUUAUUCUUCUCUCUGUACUUAUCAUUUACUCUUUUGGUUUAGUCUUUGUUUCCAGUAAUUCUUCAUCAUCUCGUCUGUGUAUGGAUAGGGAAAUGUUAGAGCUUCUUUACUUGCAACAUAAGAAAGAAACUGCCAGCAGCACAUCGAUUCAUUCCUGAUCUGUCAAUUAGGUUUAGUAAAGCGCAGAUAACACAAAGAGCUUACUUGUUUAGGAACAAAAAAAACAUAGAAAUCAAAAAAGCAUAAUUAAUGACUCAAGGCAGUAGAAAUCAAACUUCAAUGGGAAUUUACAAUCUCAAUGUAAAUGAAACCUUGGUAAAUUGCAGCAAAUUUGUUCAACAAAUCAUCAGUAGUCAUUGAGUAGAAAGAUUUCUCCCAUCCACUUCAGGAUCUUUUGG